UUGCUGYUUYGCUGACGAGUGGCGGACGGGUGAGUAAUGUCUGGGAAACUGCCUGAUGGAGGGGGAUAACUACUGGAAACGGUAGCUAAUACCGCAUAACGUCGCAAGACCAAAGAGGGGGACCUUCGGGCCUCUUGCCAUCGGAUGUGCCCAGAUGGGAUUAGCUWGUWGGUGGGGUAACGGCUCACCWAGGCGACGAUCCCUAGCUGGUCUGAGAGGAUGACCAGCCACACUGGAACUGAGACACGGUCCAGACUCCUACGGGAGGCAGCAGUGGGGAAUAUUGCACAAUGGGCGCAAGCCUGAUGCAGCCAUGCCGCGUGUAUGAAGAAGGCCUUCGGGUUGUAAAGUACUUUCAGCGGGGAGGAAGGGAGUAAAGUUAAUACCUUUGCUCAUUGACGUUACCCGCAGAAGAAGCACCGGCUAACUCCGUGCCAGCAGCCGCGGUAAUACGGAGGGUGCAAGCGUU
rnacentral:rRNA from 1 species